GGAGCGGUAGUUCAGUUGGUUAGAAUACCGGCCUGUCACGCCGGGGGGCGCGGGUUCGAGCCCCGUCCGCUCCGCCA
rnacentral:tRNA from 22 species